GGUGGCUUAAUGGUAGAGUACUUGCCUCGCAUGCAAGAGCCCCUGGGUUCCAUUCCUCAGCACCA
rnacentral:tRNA from 1 species